UGCUGCAGUCAACUUUGCGGCGGUGUAAAAGAAGAAGGCAGUCCCGCUCUCCUUUAUCUCGGCGUCCUCCUCCGGGUGGCAGGCAUCAUCCCGGCGCUCCUUUAUCUCUGCGUCCUCCUCCGGGUGGCAGGCAUCAUCCCGGCUCCGACCGAACCAACCGCUCAGCGUGCUGCGAGUAGCCUCUCUCUCUCAGAUGGCAGCCAGGCUGGAGCUCUGCGUGUUGGAACAUGCCUCGACUUGUACCGGCUUGCCUGGCGCAGGAAGCGGCGGAGCCUUGAGCCCUGCGGUCAACAGAUUCACCGUGCCCAAUGUCAAGUGGCCCUCAGAGAGGGAAACAGCCCCCGGCGGAGCGGCUCCAUGGCUGUGCCGGACAGUCAGAGCGGAGGGGACAACCGGGAGCUGGAUCUCAGAACCUGAGCCGUUCAGCCGUCCACCACAACCGGACUCCAACUACAUGGUUCUACUGCUUGCGGGAAUUCCCUCUCACAGUGAAACCUCUUCCUCAGUUGACAGCGCUGGCGUCCUCUGCAACCUAAACACACAGAAACCUCUUCUUCUCAAGGUUGGACCAGGCUGACUCAGGAAUAACCAACGCAUGGGGAAUGUAGGACUGCAACCCCAUUGACCGUGGAGGGAAGAGGCUUUGUCAUUUAAAAGCGACAAGACAGACCAGUGACUCCAACAAGCCCUUCUGUUCUGGCCUAGCCUAGCGCCACAAGAACCGACUCUGCGUUCGGAUACAAGUUAGACAUGGCACUGAAUACUGUAAAAUGCACAGGCCUUGUGUUCAUGUGCCAAGUGUUUCUCAAACAAAGCAGGAAGGCACACGUGCGAAGAACCCGUGGGGAAGAAGAACAUAGACGAAGUGGAAAGAAGAACCGGGACGGACAGAGGAGCGUGUGGUGGGUUUGGCUACAGUGGGUGUUUCUUUGGCAGUGUCUUAGCUGGUUGUUGUGAGGGAGAGAACGAAGCAAUCAGCAAGUAUACUGCCGCAGAAACUCUUCGCACAACGAGCCCAGGCCCCCCGGAAUCUCCACGUGGGCCCUUUGGAAACGCCAAGUUGUCCCCAUGGACCCUGGGUGUUCACAGAGGAUCACCCAGACAGAGAUAGACAGCAGAAAUGAGCAAAAGGAGUUUGUAUUUUAAGUGCGGUUAUUACCCCUGACCCCUGAUGUUUUUCACCACUGGUGGUGGGCUGAUGCUGUUGUGUGUGCUUAGUCCAUUGAGUGUUCGGUUGUCGAUUUGAAACAACUUGAAUCCUCUAGCGCCAUCUUGUGUCUCAGAAGCUAAGUUGAGUGAAACAAUCACUUGCUCUUGGUUAUUGUACAUAAAAGUGAAAAUAAAAGUUUAAGAAUCUG